CACCACUAGGACAAACAUAAACCUUGUGUAAUUGCAAUCAGCGUCAGUAACAAAUUAAUAAGUACAACCUUUCAACAACGGAUCUCUUGGUUCUGGCAUCGAUGAAGAACGCAGCGUAAUGCGAUAAGUAGUGUGAAUUGCAGAAUUCAGUGAAUCAUCGAAUCUUUGAACGCACAUUGCGCCCUUUGGUAUUCCAAAGGGCAUGCCUGUUCGAGCGUCAUUUGUACCCUCAAGCUUUGCUUGGUGUUGGGCGUCUUGUCUCUAGCUUUGCUGGAGACUCGCCUUAAAGUAAUUGGCAGCCGGCCUACUGGUUUCGGAGCGCAGCACAAGUCGCACUCUCUAUCAGCAAAGGUCUAGCAUCCAUUAAGCCUUUUUUCAACUUUUGACCUCGGAUCAGGUAGGGAUACCCGCUGAACUUAAGCAUAUCAAUAAGCGGAGGAAAAGAAACCAACAGGGAUUGCCCUAGUAACGGCGAGUGAAGCGGCAACAGCUCAAAUUUGAAAUCUGGCUCUUUUAGAGUCCGAGUUGUAAUUUGCAGAGGCGGCUUUGGCU
rnacentral:rRNA from 1 species